GUGGCCCCGGCGGCCGACGCGGGCAACGCGUGCGAGUGGCCCUGUGGUGGAAAUGCAGAACGAUGCGCGUCGGAAUCUCCGUUGACUACUUGAGAAUGGGAAUUUCACCUUGACCAUGGAACUCCUCUAGUCUCCCGAGCUGGCCUACCAAACCGGCGGUCUUGCCACAAGAUGAAAUUCUCCUAUAAAGUUGAUGUACUUGAAAGGCAUAUUUAGCAUAUGGAGUCCCCGGGAACGACAUUAUGCUUUUCUCGCUACUUCAAAAGGUUGGUGGACAGUCCUUCAGUGCAACUGAAAUAGAGUUUAUAAUCCUAAAGAUGAAGAACCCAGCACACCAGCCACAAAUUUCUUUGAUGUUAGCCCUUCACAAGUUCAGAGUCACCGAGGAGCCCCUGGUGUUGUUUGCACUCAGCAGUGGAAUGUUCUCUUCACCUGCUGCCAGGAUUUUCUCGGCCGAGAAAGUUCGACAGAGCUCCAAGAAUCGAUGAGAGACUACAUCCGAGCAUCGGUCGGUAUCAACAACAAGGGGAAGCUCAUGGUCCCCGCUCUGCUGCAGAGUUAUGCCAAGGGCACCGUGGAGGACUCUGCUCGCUGACUGUCUCUGCUGGCAGCUGACCCCGGCCCAGGUCGUGGCGAUCCAGGACACCACGUCGUCGCGCAAGCAGCAGCUUCUCAGGUUCCGCAGCUUCAGCGUCGUCCCAUUCGACUCGACGUUCCCGUACCUCUUCUUGCCAGACCAGACCAGCACUCGGCAGAUUGAUCUCAGCACUGAAGAGAAACCGAGAGUGGAAAGAUUAGCUCUAUACAUGUUGUGGCUGAUUCUUUUUAUUACUCUGUAAAGGCCAUUGAUUAGUUGGUAUGUUUGCAUCCUGUGUAGUAGUGAUUGCUUCAGUUCCCGUUAGCAUGACGUCGACAUGGAACUAUUGCCAGUAGCAUCACACUUGAUGGCUUGGUGGAAGUUUUGCCUUGAGAAUUGGAGACAAAUUACUGGUGAUGGCCAAAUGGAGGCAAAGAUGGAUGAUGGUGUCGUUGGCAGAGUUUUGACCGUUUAAGAUUACUAUCUUUUUAACGGGUAGCUCGUUUUACUACUAACUUUGAAGUUCAGAGUUGCUACUCGUUAGACAGCCAGAAACAGAACUGUUCUGUCUCUACAUCAUCAGCUCUUAGACACAUUAUAUCAGACAGCCAGCAUGGCAGCAUGUCAAAUUGCGAACUCCUCCUGGUUUCUCUUGAGGAGGAAGACAGAGAAGCUGGGCACAAAGCUGAAGGUACAGAGGAGAAGAGGAAGGGAAGGAACCAGUGAAUCGAGUGAUGUUGUGUACUAUGAAUUCAGAUUAUGUAUCAGACAUUGUAAUCGAGUGAUGUUGUGUACUAGGA